UGGCCGGGUACAAUGCGAAGCGAAGCAGCGAUGUGAAGCAAAUCGCACCAAAGCCGGUCCCAGUUCGGAUAAGAGGCUGAAACUCGCCUCUUUGAAGUCGGAAUCGCUAGUAAUCGCAGAUCAGCAUGUUGCGGUGAAUACGUUUCCUGGUCUUGUACACACCGCCCGUCAAACCAUGAGAGUCGCCAACACCCGAAGUCCGCUUUGCGGCCUAAGGUGGGGGAGAUGAUUGGGGUUAAGUCGUAACAAGGUAAC
rnacentral:rRNA from 1 species